AACUAUAUAUAUAUAUAUAUACAAAUUAUUUUAAAUAUUUACAUUACCAGAUAACAAAUAUGUAUGAUUAAAAUUAAUUUGGGAUAUGUUACCUCCAGAAAAUUGUGUCGCAACUGAAUGAAACUACAGUUUUAAACGCCUGAAAUCAGAGCAGGUGAAGCACAGACACGUCCGAUUACUUCCGGUUAACCCCCUCCACGAGGCUCGUGUUGGCGAGGAGUCGAGCAAAGGAAUGACCUAGCCCUUUCUAUUUAUCCUGACAUUUGGAAGUGCCGCCUACUAUCACACGGCAUAUGUGGCAAAUAUUACAUAUCUUUGUAUACUCGGAUUGGACUCUUCAAGGAAAUACAGUUUUUCCUUGGACUUCAAAACCAACAAACUGCUUUCAGCAUCGGAGGAUACAACUAUCCAUCACCAGAAGGAGUUCUCACCUGGAAACACCGACGUCUUGUCUGAAAGACCCUGCUCAGAAAGCUGCCAAAAUCAUACUAGGGUGGAAGAAAUACAACACAGACUACUGUCUAUUUUCCAUCCCAGAUGCUCAUCGGUCGCAACCUUCAUCUGCCUUGUGAUCUCUUGUUUGAUUUCCCUCUGCAUGUGCCUUCAAUCGCGUGAGGAAUACAUCCAAGAUCUCCAAUGCACAAUUUUGCAUGAGAGCGAGUCAACUUGGGGACGGAGAAGAUGAAGACCCGAUACGACAUGAGAGCUACUGGACAUCUUUUCAACGAAGGUGGGGUUUCAAUGAGACAAGGUGUGGUUGUGGAAUCCAAUCCGACGGAAAGGACUGUGUUGUAAACUACAGUCACCUUUGGAGGGUCCUUACACAGUCCUAAACAGGAUGAACAACGUCGUGGUUCGGAUCCAUAAGUCAUCGAAUUCUAAGCCUAAAGUCGUUCAUUACGACAGGUUAGCUUCUUACUAUGGGUAUAGUACAUAGUGUAUAUAAUGCAAAUAGUAUUUGACCAUGGUCUUUUUUGUUUCGUUUCUAAAUUUGUAUUUGAUUUGAUUUGCAUUUAGCAUUUAAUUUGUUUUAAGUUACUUAAUGCAAUUAUUAUUUGUGUUGUUUGUUAUUUUAACAUAAUGUGUAUUGUUGAAUUGAUGCUUUAGUUUUAAGUAUGGCUUUCUGUCCAGAGAUUGUACUGCCUUGGAUGUGCACUCCUUUGGAAGGGGGCAGUGUUACGAAUUUAGUACUUAAAUAGCAAAUCUUAGUGAAAUUAUAAUUAAAAUUGUUGUAUUUCCCUGUGCAAUGCAACAUGUGGUAUAUUUUAAGAGAAAGCUACACUGGAAAAUUAAAAAUACAAGAGCAUGUGCAUUUAACAUUGAAUAAAAGUUUAUCUCUGUAAUUGAUAUUUAAUUUAAAUAAAUGUAAUUUACUACUGUGUUAGCUGUAACUGUAAUUUUACUCUUUUUGCUUUCCAGAAAUUGCUAGAACUGUCUUGCAUGGCCAUUUAAAAAGCUAUAAAAGCCGGAGAGAAACAUCUGAGCUCAGUUGUUUCGAUAACUGUUGUUGUUGAUUGUAGCGAAUUCGCGCUGAUAUCAGAUUAGCUUACUCUGCGCUUUGAAUUGUGUUCUAUUUACUGUUUUAGUACUUUAAAAUAUAGCUACUGAUUAUAGUGCAUGAUAUUGUGAUACUAUAUAAAUAUCUCUGAGGAAAUAUUUCAGCAUUUGGUUUUAUUUGUGAAAAGAAUAAAUUCUGUUAACUUUUUUUUUAUCAGACUUGUGCAUUCAAUCUAUUGAGCCCCUAUGCACGCAACAAUUUAUUUCAUAUUUGAAAUAAUAGCUAUAAAUGCUUCAUUUCAUUCCCUUUUUUUCUGUAAAGUAAUCAUCAUGCAAUAUAAAUUAAAAUAAAAUAUUACUCAGUUUUUGUUUAAUAUGUUGGGUAAAUAAUAUUAAAUGAUUACAUUAACCGAGAUGUCUUUCUAUUAUAGGCAGUCAGGUUUAAGUGGAAUUUCACAUAGUGAAUCCGAACUUAAAUUUAGUGCAGAGUAUUGGCAGUCAUUUGAAAAAGCAUUACCAAAAACUUGUGUAUGGGACUGUGUAACUGAAAUCUUAGAAAGAUAUAGGGAACUCUUAAAGACUCGCUGUAGUUUGCUUGAAUUGAAAUUAAGCCUGGUAGCUGAGAAUGAAGAGUUUGAAAAAUAUCUGAAGAACUAUAAUGCCUAUGUGUAUUUAUGAUCUACUAAUCUUCAUGCUAAUGUAUUUAUUACUGUAUAUUUUUUUCUAAAAUGACUGUUGAAAAUAAAGCAUAUAUGUUUCAAA
rnacentral:lncRNA from 1 species